AAGGUGCGCAGAAGGCCAAAGCCUUCUACUUCAGUGCAGACCACUAAGAUCCACAAAAGGCCUCCAAUCAUUGUGAGCUGUGGGCAGGACCAGACAUCUGGGGAUGGAUGGAAUAUCAAUCCAGAGCCUCUCAGCCAGUCUGGAAGGGUGACUCGGCUGAUAGAGAAAAAUUAUGAUGAGGUGAUCUCGUCCUCCAACUCCGAUGACUUUUCCAUCGACUCCUUUACUGACUGUGAAUCUGAGUGUGAUGAUGAGGAUCAUGGAAGGAGGACACCACUGCUGAAAGUUAAGGAUGAGGAGGAUGGAAAGGUGACAAAGCUUGAAGUGAGGGAUAUGGUAGAGGACGACGAUCUGUCUCUCCACUCCUUCGAUGAGUCAGACUUCCUGCGUGAUGAUGGCAAUGAUGCCUCUACUGACGACUUUCCAGAGCCUCCAAAGGAACCACAAGUUCCACUGAAGGACCAUCAACUGGUAGGCGUCUCUUACAUUUGU